GCUGUGAGAAGAAAAAAUGGAAGAGGACCUAACAAUCUUAACAUUUGUGAAAAUUUGCUAUCCAGAAGAUAGGGUUCUUCCUCCUUAGGAAUGAAGAAUGAGAACCGGAACAAAUAAUGGGCUUACCAGUUCUCCAGAAAGAAUAGUUCCUUUCAAAGACCUUUCUUAUGGACAUUACAGCCAAGUACAAAAGUUAGACACAAAGAAGCACGGGGCCUACUAUCUUCCUGAAUAUGGGACAAGAAAGAGGAAAAUACACAGAGAACGCCAUAAAUACCUAUCUCAAAAGCUCCAUCCUCCCACACAGUCAAAUUGCGCAAGCUUGCUCAGCUGAGUUAACAGGGAGACUCUUUUGCCUGCAAACAGGUCAAUCACCACCUUGAAUAUGAGCAUGCUGCAUGCUGCAGCAGUAUAUAGUAAUCAAAGGCAACAAGCCAAGGAUGAUGGAAGAACAAGAGAGAAGCAGGCUGGGUCUUUGACAUUGGACAGCCAGAGUCCCA